rnacentral:rRNA from 1 species
UACGUAGGGUGCAAGCGUUGUCCGGAAUUAUUGGGCGUAAAGAGCUCGUAGGCGGUUUGUCGCGUCUGCUGUGAAAACUGGAGGCUCAACCUCCAGCCUGCAGUGGGUACGGGCAGACUAGAGUGCGGUAGGGGAGAUUGGAAUUCCUGGUGUAGCGGUGGAAUGCGCAGAUAUCAGGAGGAACACCGGUGGCGAAGGCGGGUCUCUGGGCCGAUGACUGACGCUGAGGAGCGAAAGCGUGGGGAGCAAACAGG